ensembl:snoRNA
UCAGCACCUAAACCCAAGGGCCACUAUUGUAAUAGUGGCUAAACACAGGUGCUAACAGCAAAGGGUACCUGUUCGCCUUUGGAGGACUUCUUGUGCCCUUCAAAUUUAGAGGUUCUACACAC